rnacentral:rRNA from 1 species
UAUCUCUGUAGAGUCUGCAUAUCAAUAAGCGGAGGAAAAGAAACUAACUAGGAUUCCCUUAGUAACGGCGAGUGAAGCGGGAAGAGCUCAAAUUUGAAAUCUUCAAGGUUUUACCUUGACGAAUUGUAGUUUAAAGAAGUAGUUUUCUGUUGGAUGUUUUGGUAAAAGUUCUUUGGAAUAGGACAUCAUAGAGGGUGAGAAUCCCGUAUUUGACCAUUACUUCCAGCUUUGUGAUACACUUUCAAAGAGUCGGAUUGUUUGGGAAUGCAGUCCAAAAUGGGUGGUAAAUUUCAUCUAAAGCUAAAUAUUGGCGAGAGACCGAUAGCGAACAAGUACCGUGAGGGAAAGAUGAAAAGAACUUUGAAAAGAGAGUUAAACAGUACGUGAAAUUGUCAAAAGGGAAGCGUUUGACACCAGUGUUGUUUUCUCGAAAAUCAAUUAAAAAAGGCAGGAUUUUGUGUUGUAUUGACUUUAUCAGCUUUCUGCACUCUUUUCUUGUCUUUUUUAAUGCACUUUUCGUUUAACAAGUCAACAUCAAUUUCUUUUGUUGUAAAAGGGUCAUUGGAAGGUGGCUUUCUUUUCGGAGAAAGUGUUUAUAGCCUUUGGCCUCUGCAAUCGGAGAGAUUGAGGUCUGCAGCGUAGAUCCUUCGGGGUUGGAUACAUUUGUGCUAAGUUAUAGCCUUUCAUAGACAACUUGUUGACUAUGAUCAGUCAUGUAGCUUACUCGCUUAUGCUAUUUUACCUACGCUUAGGAUGUUGACGAUCAGCUGAGCGCG